CCUGGAGGAAGCACGGGCUAAGUUCGUGCCAGCAGCCGCGGUAAGACGAACCGUGCGAACGUUGUUCGGAAUCACUGGGCUUAAAGGGCGCGUAGGCGGGCUGCCAAGUCCGGGGUGAAAUCUUUCGGCUUAACCGGAAAAGUGCCUUGGAUACUGGCGGUCUCGAGGGAGGUAGGGGUAUGUGGAACUUCCGGUGGAGCGGUGAAAUGCGUUGAUAUCGGAAGGAACGCCGGUGGCGAAAGCGACGUACUGGACCUCUUCUGACGCUGAGGCGCGAAAGCUAGGGGAGCGAACGGGAUUAGAUACCCCGGUAGUCCUAGCCCUAAACGAUGGGUACUAGGUAGUGGACUUAACAUGGGUUCACUGCCGAAGCAAAAGUGUUAAGUACCCCGCCUGGGGAGUAUGGUCGCAAGGCUGAAACUCAAAGGGAUUGACGGGGGCUCACACAAGCGGUGGAG
rnacentral:rRNA from 1 species